rnacentral:lncRNA from 1 species
UGUGGCCAGGGAGCCGCAGGCAAGGGACUAAGGGGAGGGGGGCUCAGUGCCAGCUGCUUAAAAAUGCCCCUGUGGCAGCGAGGGGCACCAGAGGCUGGGUCUAAUUAGUUGAGAAGCAGUGACACCCCCAACCACUCCCCAAACAGGCUGGCUCCCGUCUCCAGGCCCCAAGGAGCCACACCUGGACCAGACCCCAGGAAAGGCAAGGGCGCUAGCUGGUGGGAGCCACCCCGCCAUGCUGAUGUCAGAGAAGCAAGAACUCUGGAGAAGCAGCCUCCUGGGACCAGAGGAGGGCCAGCAGCAGGCAGCCCGGAGACAGAACUCUCACCCACGCCUCUCCAAGCCUCCCAACAGAAGACAGAGGUCCCCCACAGCCAGAGACAUUUCCUGAAGACAUGGGGAACACAGAGGCAGAAACAGCCCAUCCACCCAGGAGCUGUCCCCCACACUGCCGGGAGCCGGCACCCAGAGCCGCCAGGUAAAACUGAGGCCACCUGGUUCAACAUCACCUUUCACAGAAGGGGAAGCAGCCACAGAAAGAAGGGCCUCGUUAAGAAGUGGAACCUGGGACCCCCAAGCGGUGUCUCUCAUCCUGACUGGGGAUCCAGAGUAGGAGGGAGCCUUUGGUGGGACACAAAGGAACAGAACGAGGCACCAACAGCAAGGGGCAAGCAGAUUCAAGGGCCACAGAGGAGAUGGAGGCAAACACCUUCCCCUGGUCAGAGGCUGUGCCUCAGCCCUUCUCCCUGCAUCAGUUUCUCCUUCAGAAGCAUGGGACUACCUCCCAUCUAGUUCUCGUUUCUAAACCUAGGGGAGAUGCUAUCUUUGCUGCAAUAAUCUUAGCCUACAUCUUGGAAUGGAAAUGGCCUUGGUGGAAAUGGUCUUCAACUCCUCUGGUCCAAGCUCAGGCCCUGUGACCCUGGAACAAUCCCCUUCCUGGUCCUCCAUGUAGGAGCAAUAACAUUCCCUUGCCAGCAGCACCAGCCAUUCUGAUGAUUAAAUGGUAUCGGACUCUGUUUUCCAAACUCAGUCAUUCAGAUGCCCCCUAUUUUAUUUCUUCCAUGUCUGCAAAUGAUUAUAAUAUUUUUAAAUGUAGGAUGAGUCCUUUUUAUUACACAUAGAAAUAGCUACUGUAAAUAGCAAACUCUAACACUGUGCCUAAUUAGGAAAUAAAGGUAACCAUAAAUACAGUAAAAA